GGCCAACAACAUCUCAUGUGGUCUCCAGAGCAGUGGCACCGCUCUCUGCCAUGUGGUGACAUUACUGUAACCUGGCAUGUCAGUCCAGUCCAUCAAAUGUGGUGGCUAAGUGGAGGGGGGACCCCAACGUGUCACUAACAGUCGGGCAUUACAGACAGCUAAAUGUGCUAAUGGCCUAGCUAAUGCAGUGGUAUUCACUGAUUACCUCACGCUGUUGCUGUUCUAAAUACAGCUUGUUCCCGGUCAGCUUGCCUGGUUAAGUGAAGAUAAAGAAAACUUCCCUGCCAGGACCUGGAGAUCAAAACUUGACAUCCUUGUAUUUGUUACAAGGUUCUACCUAUGGCAUCUCUCUGCGGGACACUGUACACUCUUGUGGAAAGACGGUAACACUGAUGCAAGGCUUUGAAAGCAGCAAUUAGCACUCCUGGUGGUAUGCUGGUGUUUUUUUUUUCUUCUUUUCUUUUCUUUUACCUUCCUCAUUCUCUUCUUCAACUUCCCCCCUGGGAAUAGCUGUUAAGAGAUACAAUUAAUUUUUUGACA